GAGGGAAGCAAUUUGUUGCUCUGCUCUCUCCUAAUUUUACGUUUUCUAGUGAGAACUGUGCGGACGUUCAGAUUGGCCAUAUUUUUACCUAUAAAGAACAGAGAACUGGAUGCCUGGCCAGAGAAAGCAGAGAGGACAGAGCAUGAGGGAGGAAUGGUCACUGCAUCUCCCCAGAGAGGGCAGAGGACAGAGAGGGGAGUUUGUGUCCUUGGUGAUGGAGAGGCUUGCCCCAUCCUGCUUUAGAGAAGGUCCGUCCUUGUCGCCAGAGCUGGCUGUCCAGGAACAUCCUGUUUGCACACAGAUGGUCACUGUGAAGGACAGAGAGGAGCCUGACUGCAUCCCCUGAGCGCUUGGAUCCAGCCAUGCCUGAAGGGAUUCUGAAGCUGGUUCUCCUAACUGGAGAAGCCCAGAAAGGAGAGCCUGGAGGAGAAGAGACAGAUUCCUUGACGUCAGUCCUGACAGCUGAAGCCACAGAUAGGCACCAUGAAGCGGGAUCUCGGAGGGAACCGCACACGAGUAGGGACGGGUCAGAGCAGGACCCUGAAGCCAAACCUCAUGGUCUGAGCCCUGCUCACCACUCAGCUGUGUUACCUGGGACAGGUCGCUUGCCGUCUCCGUAUCCGGGUCUGUCAGCUGAGGACAGUGAUAAGCCCGCCCCGUGGGGUGUGAGCUGAUGAGUCUGUGUGGACGGUGCCCAGGACAAGGCCUGGCCCCCGCGACCCAGGGCUCUGGGCUCUCUCCACAGAACUGCCGGGUCAGGGGACAAUUUCCAUCUCCUGUGGGGACGUGACCUGUGCACCCGCCGGGCAGAGGGUGCGACAGUGUUGGGUGGGGCCUGCUCUCUGCGACCAUCCUGAGAGUGAACGACUUGCAUUCUCACCAUACCCACGUUUAAUUCAUAAGGAUUCAAAUACAUGCAUUUUGCCAGAAAAAAUGAGAAAGCUAAUUCAAAUUAAACUGUAAAAUUAAA
rnacentral:lncRNA from 1 species